rnacentral:rRNA from 1 species
GACGAACGCUGGCGGCGUGCUUAACACAUGCAAGUCGAACGGAAAGGCCCUGCUUUUGUGGGGUGCUCGAGUUGCGAACGGGUGAGUAACACUUGAGUAACCUGCCCUUGACUUUGGGAUAACUUCAUGAAACUUGGGCUAAUACCGGAUAGGAGCUCCUGCUGCAUGGUGGGGGUUGGAAAGUUUCGGCGGUUGGGGAUGGACGCGCGGCUUAUCAGCUUGUUGGUGGGGUAGUGGCUUACCAAGGCUUUGACGGGUAGCCGGACUGAGAGGGUGACCGGCCACAUUGGGACUGAGAUACGGCCCAGACUCCUACGGGAGGCAGCAGUGGGGAAUAUUGCACAAUGGGCGGAAGCCUGAGGCAACAACGCCGCGUGCGGGAUGACGGCCUUCGGGUUGUAAUCCGCUUUCGCCUGUGACGAAGCGUGAGUGACGGUAAUGGGUAGAGAAGCACCGGCUAACUACGUG